AAUUGUGAUAUAGCAUCAGAGAAAAUUGAGGCUCUACCUUGAUUCUAUCAUCCAUGAUGCUGCCACCUAAGCUAGCUCAUAAACCCAGGAGAAAACACUCAACCCUACUAAGAAAUAAUGAACGGAUCAUAUUCCGUAUGUGUUAACAUACCAUCAGACCAACAAGAAGAUCAAAGAUAAUAUACUAAACAAUUACACAAUACUUAAUGAAGACCCUACCACUAAAUCUCUUUUCAAGGACACACCCAUUAUUUCUUAAAGGUAUGAAAAAAACUUGAAAAAA